UGAGUGGUAGGUAGACUGUGUGCUUAGUAUGCACAAGGUCCUGGGUUCAAUCCCCAGCCCCUCUG
rnacentral:tRNA from 1 species